rfam:Oscillatoria acuminata PCC 6304, complete genome.
AAUUAAAUAGCACAGUAGCCGGAGACAGUAGGUGUCCUAACAGGGCUUAAUUUCCUACCUAGGUUUGCGUUAUCGUUCCCCUUGUGCUGAUCUUGUCAUGAGUUGACAAGAUUGCCAUCGGGAUCUGACAAAACCCCGGCUGCCCUGCUGGGGUUUUUGAUUGGGUCG